AUUGAACGCUGGCGGCAGGCCUAACACAUGCAAGUCGAACGAGUGGCGGACGGGUGAGUAAUGUCUGGGAAACUGGCUGAUGGAGGGGGAUAACUACUGGAAACGGUAGCUAAUACCGCAUACUAUCGGAUGAACCCAUGUGGGAUUAGCUAGUAGGUGAGGUAAUGGCUCACCUAGGCGACGAUCCCUAGCUGGUCUGAGAGGAUGAUCAGCCACACUGUGACUGAGACACGGCCCAGACUCCGACGGGAGGCAGCAGUGGGGAAUAUUGCACAAUGGGCGCAAGCCUGAUGCAGCCAUGCCGCGUGUAUGAAGAAGGCCCUAGGGUUGUAAAGUACUUUCAGUCGGGAGGCGUUACCGACAGAAGAAGCACCGGCUAACUCCGUGCCAGCAGCCGCGGUAAUAC
rnacentral:rRNA from 1 species